rnacentral:lncRNA from 1 species
CAAACCACUUAUAAGACCCUUCUGGGGCAAAAUCCACACCAGUUGCAUCAUCCUUUCCUCCCAAAACAUCUCAUAGAUUAUGUUUUACCUCACGGGCACCCUAUGGUCUCCUGGUGAACGAGCUUGGGUGAAUUUAAUGAACAAGCCCUGAGUGGCUUUGGAAUCCUUGCAAAGUUCUUGGUUUAGAAACAACUGAGAUUUUCAGAUCUAAGAAAAGAUAAAUAUAAAAAAUUGAAAGCAAAAUGUCAUUUCUUGAAGGCUAAAAGCUUCAUAGAAACCUAAAGGAGUUAGAGAAGGAAGAUCUCUCAAUGGAAAUGCUAAGAAGAGACACAAGGAAAGACACAUCACUAAGGAGAGACCCAAGGAAAAUGGCUCUAUGACUACAGUCCAUUUAAAGAAUGAGGGCGUUCCUUCUACCAAGUUACAGGUGGAGAUGUGUUUACCUGCUGGAUACCAAUGCUUCUAGCAUCAGGGAGAAGUUGAGCCCUGGAGGAAACAUUGCCUCUAAGUUUGUGUUCUG